rnacentral:rRNA from 1 species
GACGAACGCUGGCGGCGUGCCUAAUACAUGCAAGUCGAGCGGACUGAUUAAGAGCUUGCUCUUAUGACGUUAGCGGCGGACGGGUGAGUAACACGUGGGCAACCUGCCCUGUAGAUCGGGAUAACACCGAGAAAUCGGUGCUAAUACCGGUUAAUAUCUGAGAUCACAUGAUCUUAGGUUAAAAGAUGGCUCCGGCUAUCACUACAGGAUGGGCCCGCGGCGCAUUAGCUAGUUGGUAAGGUAAUGGCUUACCAAGGCGACGAUGCGUAGCCGACCUGAGAGGGUGAUCGGCCACACUGGGACUGAGACACGGCCCAGACUCCUACGGGAGGCAGCAGUAGGGAAUCUUCCGCAAUGGACGAAAGUCUGACGGAGCAACGCCGCGUGAGUGAUGAAGGGUUUCGGCUCGUAAAGCUCUGUUGUUAGGGAAGAAACAGUACCGAACGAACUAGGUCGGUACCUUGACGGUACCUAACCAGAAAGCCACGGCUAACUACGUG